rnacentral:rRNA from 1 species
CCUCAGUAACGGCGAGUGAAGCGGCAAGAGCUCAAAUUUGAAAGCUGGCUCCUUCGGGGUCCGCAUUGUAAUUUGCAGAGGAUGCUUCGGGAGCGGCCCCCAUCUAAGUGCCCUGGAACGGGCCGUCAUAGAGGGUGAGAAUCCCGUCUGGGAUGGGGUGCCCGCGCCCGUGUGAAGCUCCUUCGACGAGUCGAGUUGUUUGGGAAUGCAGCUCUAAAUGGGUGGUAAAUUUCAUCUAAAGCUAAAUACUGGCCGGAGACCGAUAGCGCACAAGUAGAGUGAUCGAAAGAUGAAAAGCACUUUGAAAAGAGAGUUAAACAGCACGUGAAAUUGUUGAAAGGGAAGCGCUUGCGACCAGACUCGCUCGCGGGGUUCAGCCGGCCUUCGGGCCGGUGUACUUCCCCGCGGGCGGGCCAGCGUCGGUUUGGGCGGCCGGUCAAAGGCCCUCGGAAUGUAUCGCCCCCCGGGGCGUCUUAUAGCCGAGGGUGCCAUGCGGCCAGCCCGGACCGAGGAACGCGCUUCGGCUCGGACGCUGGCAUAAUGGUCGUAAGCGACCCGUCUUGAAACACGGACCAAGGAGUCUAACAUCUACGCGAGUGUUCGGGUGUCAAACCCGUGCGCGCAGUGAAAGCGAACGGAGGUGGGAACCCCUCGGGGUGCACCAUCGACCGAUCCUGAUGUCUUCGGAUGGAUUUGAGUAAGAGCGUAGCUGUUGGGACCCGAAAGAUGGUGAACUAUGCCUGAAUAGGGCGAAGCCAGAGGAAACUCUGGUGGAGGCUCGCAGCGGUUCUGACGUGCAAAUCGAUCGUCAAAUUUGGGUAUAGGGGCGAAAGACUAAUCGAACCAUCUAGUAGCUGGUUCCUGCCGAAGU